GAAUAUUGGACAAUGGGGGGAACCCUGAUCCAGCCAUGCCGCGUGUGUGAAGAAGGCCUUUUGGUUGUAAAGCACUUUCAGCGAGGAGGAGGCUACCUGGAUUAAUACUUUAGGAUAGUGGACGUUACUCGCAGAAUAAGCACCGGCCACCUCUGUGCCAGCAGCCGCGGUAAUACAGAGGGUGCGGGCGUUAAGCGGAUUUACGGGGCGUAAAGCGGGCGGAGGCGGCCAAUGAAGUCAAAUGUGAAAGCCCCGAGCUUAACUUGGGAAUCGCAUGCGAUACUGGUUGGCUAGAGUAUGGGCGAGGAGGGUAGAAUUCCAGGUGUAGCGGUGAAAUGCGUAGAGAUCUGGAGGAAUACCGAUGGAGAAGGCAGCCAUCUGGCAUAAUACUGACGCUGAGGUACGAAAGCAUGGGGAGCAAACAG
rnacentral:rRNA from 1 species